rnacentral:tRNA from 1 species
GCUCUCAUGGCCUAAUUGGUAAGGCACCUGUUUCGUAAACAGGGGAUUCCAGGUUCGAUUCCUGGUGGGAGCA